rnacentral:rRNA from 1 species
GAUGAACGCUGGCGGCGUGCCUAAUACAUGCAAGUCGAGCGAACAGAUGAGGAGCUUGCUCCUCUGACGUUAGCGGCGGACGGGUGAGUAACACGUGGAUAACCUACCUAUAAGACUGGGAUAACUUCGGGAAACCGGAGCUAAUACCGGAUAAUAUAUUGAACCGCAUGGUUCAAUAGUGAAAGACGGUUUUGCUGUCACUUAUAGAUGGAUCCGCGCCGCAUUAGCUAGUUGGUAAGGUAACGGCUUACCAAGGCAACGAUGCGUAGCCGACCUGAGAGGGUGAUCGGCCACACUGGAACUAGGACACGGUCCAGACUCCUACGGGAGGCAGCAGUAGGGAAUCUUCCGCAAUGGGCGAAAGCCUGACGGAGCAACGCCGCGUGGGUGAUGAAGGUCUUCGGAUCGUAAAACUCUGUUAUUAGGGAAGAACAAAUGUGUAAGUAACUAUGCACGUCUUGACGGUACCUAAUCAGAAAGCCACGGCUAACUACGU